ncrna:unclassified sequences RAGATH-18 RNA
UCUGUGGAGAGUACUAGAACUUGUGAGUAGUAUUUAAGUAAACUUAAAUACGAAAGCAUACUCAAUGAAACAGAAA